rnacentral:rRNA from 1 species
UAAAGCUAAUCUGAGCAGGGUAAGCCGACCCCUAAGGCGAGGCCGAAAGGCGUAGUCGAUGGGAACCAGGUUAAUAUUCCUGGGCCAGAUGGAAGUGACGGAUUGCAGAGGUUGUUCAUCCUUAUCGGAUUGAAUGGGCUGCUUAGAGGUCCCUGGAAAUAGCUCCAUCGCUAGAUCGUACCCUAAACCGACACAGGUGGACUGGUAGAGAAUACCAAGGCGCUUGAGAGAACGAUGUUGAAGGAACUCGGCAAAAU